UCAUUUAAGAUACUAGAAUAUAAUUUAGCAUGUAUUUUCACAAGUACAAACGUACCUCAAUUAACACCAUAAGGUCAUAUCCAAAACAAUUCAUAGUGAUGAGCAAAAGAUGAUUUCUUCUUCAAGGCUUUAAUAAUCAGAAAACAGAAAUAAUCAAUAUUGAAUCGCAUAUGUAAUCAAGGCAAACAGUCAAGGUUGAAAACCAUUUCAACAAAGACAUUUAAAUUUAAAGAGAUAUGAGAUUAGAAUAUAUUACCUGGG